AAACUCUGUACUAGUAUCUUAAAACCCAAUACUAAUAUGGCCAGCUCUGCCUCCAUUUCAAGGCCCAGGUUCCGCUGCUUCGACCCGACUAACUCUUACCCUGCGACUCCAGAUCACCCCCGCUACUUCUCCUCCGCCGUUUCUCCCAGCUCCAGCACCAGUUCCAGUUCCAGUUCUCCCAGAGAGAACGGCUUCAGGGACAAGAUGGCAAUUUCCAACAACUCCGAGCCCAAAAUCGUCACCGGCGAGGGUGGCUACGUUCUCGAAGAUGUUCCUCACUUGGUUGAUUACAUCCCUGACCUCCCUACAUACCCCAAUCCAUUACAAAACAACCCUUCCUAUUCAGUUGUUAAGCAGUAUUUCGUUAAUGCGGAUGAUACCGUUGCCCAAAAGAUUGUUGUUCAUAAGGAUAGCCCAAGAGGGACACACUUUCGGCGCUCUGGACCACGUCAGAAGGUAUAUUUCGAAUCAGAUGAAGUGCAUGCAUGUAUUGUGACAUGUGGUGGCCUAUGUCCAGGCCUGAAUACUGUUAUUAGAGAACUAGUAUGCGGGUUAAACCACAUGUAUCAUGUCAAAAGAAUUCUUGGAAUAGAGGGUGGAUACAGAGGUUUUUAUGCCAGAAAUACAGUCCCCUUAACACCAAAGGUUGUGAAUGACAUCCACAAACGUGGUGGUACCAUCCUUGGGACAUCACGAGGGGGCCAUGAUACGUCUAAGAUUGUGGACAGCAUUCAGGACAGAGGAAUCAAUCAGGUUUAUGUAAUUGGAGGAGAUGGAACUCAGAAAGGAGCUGCGGUGAUUUUUGAGGAAAUCAGGAGGCGUGGCCUCAAAGUUGCAGUGGCAGGAAUUCCAAAAACCAUUGAUAAUGACAUUCCGGUUAUAGACAAGUCCUUUGGUUUUGACUCUGCUGUUGAGGAGGCUCAACGAGCCAUAAAUGCAGCUCAUGUUGAAGCCGAAAGCGUUGAGAAUGGUAUUGGCGUUGUCAAGUUAAUGGGCCGCUACAGUGGAUUCAUAGCAAUGUAUGCUACUCUUGCCAGCCGAGAUGUGGAUUGUUGCUUGAUUCCAGAAUCACCUUUUUAUCUGGAAGGACCUGGUGGACUUUAUGAAUACAUUGAAAAAAGGCUCAAAGAGGAUGGCCACAUAGUUAUAGUAGUAGCUGAAGGUGCAGGAGAAGUUCUUCUUUCUGAAAGCCUGCUUAAAGAUGAGCAGGAUGCUUCAGGAAAUAAGCUUCUCCAAGAUGUUGGCCUGUGGUUAUCGCAGAAUAUUAAGGACCACUUCUCGAAACGGAGAAAUAUGAAUAUAACUCUCAAAUACAUAGAUCCCACUUACAUGAUCCGUGCUAUUCCAGGCAAUGCAUCUGAUAAUGUAUAUUGCACCCUUCUUGCUCACAGUGCCAUUCAUGGUGCGAUGGCAGGAUACACAGGCUUCACUGUUGGGCCUGUUAAUGGAAGACAUGCUUAUAUUCCAUUCUGUCGUGUGACCGAGAGGCAGAACAAGGUUGUGAUUACUGACAGAAUGUGGGCACGGUUAUUAUCAUCAACCAAUCAGCCAAGCUUCUUGGAUCCUAAAGUGGUCGCCAAAAAGGUCGCCGAAACGAAGAAAGAGGAUACAGAAGCUGAAGCCCAACUGAUAUAGAGGGGGAAAACCAUAUUGAAGCAACUGCAGCGUCUGACCCAAAGGACUGCAGCGUCUGACCCAAAGGAGUAGGAAAAAAGACCAACAAGCAGCUUAUUUGGCAAAAUCAAAGAUCGUUGUGUUUGCUGUUCCCUUUUCAAUUUCGCUCCAUCUCUGCUUCCCAGUUUGAUAUGGUUUAUUUUCUUACAAGAGCACCCAAACCCGGUGGUGUUUCAGGUUUCAGUGUUUAUAUGUUGAUGUAUGAAGUUGUGUGUGUUCAUUGGUGAAAAGAAUUAAAUUUGAGUUUUCCCCGGCAAUUAUGAGUCGACGUUUUCCCCCAACCAAGGGUUUUUUAAGAGUUCAAUUUAAACCUUAUACUUCUCUUUGUU